GGGGUUGUAGCUCAGUGGUAGAGCCCAUGCUUAGCAUGCACAAGGUCCUGGGUUCAAUUCCCAGUACCUCCA
rnacentral:tRNA from 1 species